rnacentral:misc_RNA from 1 species
GUGAAUCAUCGAAUUUUUGAACGCAUAUUGCACUCACUGGUAUUCCGGAGAGUAUGCCUGUUUGAGGGUCAGUUAAUUAAAAAUCGGGGUUGUUACCAUCUUUUUAGUGGGGAUGCUUAGGAAUUGAGUUGUCUUUUUGUUAUGUGACUUAAAAUUUUUGUAUGUAUUCUAACUUAUUUAAAUUAUUUAGGAACGUUUAUUAUUUCAUUUGUUAGGUACGAUCAUUCUAAUGUC